GACGAACGCUGGCGGCGUGCUUAACACAUGCAAGUCGAACGGAAAGGCCCUGCUUUUGUGGGGUGCUCGAGUGGCGAACGGGUGAGUAACACGUGAGUAACCUCCCCCUGACUGUGGGAUAACAUCACGAAACUGCGGCUCAUACCGGAUAGGAGCUCCUGCUGCAUGGUGGGCGUUGGAAAGUGGGGGCGGUUGGGGAUGGACUCGCGGCUUAUGGGCCUGUUGGGGGGGUAGGGGCUGACCAAGGCUGCGACGGGUAGCCGGCCUGGGAGGGGGACCGGCGACAGUGGGACUGAGGUAGGGCGCAGACGGGUACGGGAGGCAGCGGUGGGGAGUAUGGCGGAGUGGGCGGGAGCGUGAUGCGGCGGCGCCGGGUGCGGGAUGACGGCCUUCGGGUGGUAAACAGAUUUGGCCUGUGACGAAGCGUGAGUGACGGUAAUGGGUCAGGAAGCACCGGCUAACUACGUG
rnacentral:rRNA from 1 species